rnacentral:rRNA from 1 species
AAUGAACGCUGGCGGCAUGCCUAACACAUGCAAGUCGAACGAAGGCUUCGGCCUUAGUGGCGCACGGGUGCGUAACGCGUGGGAAUCUGCCCUUGGGUUCGGAAUAACAGUUAGAAAUGACUGCUAAUACCGGAUGAUGACGUAAGUCAAAAGAUUUAUCGCCCAAGGAUGAGCCCGCGUAGGAUUAGCUAGUUGGUGGGGUAAAAGCCCACCAAGGCGACGAUCCUGAGCUGGUCUGAGAGGAUGAUCAGCCACACUGGGACUGAGACACGGCCCAGACUCCUACGGGAGGCAGCAGUGGGGAAUAUUGGACAAUGGGCGAAAGCCUGAUCCAGCAAUGCCGCGUGAGUGAUGAAGGCCUUAGGGUUGUAAAGCUCUUUUACCCGGGAUGAUAAUGACAGUACCGGGAGAAUAAGCUCCGGCUAACUUCGUGCCAGCAGCCGCGGUAAUAC